CUUGAUCGAACCGAGCCACAGUGGACGGUCCUCGGGGCGGCCUUGUCCAUACGUGGCAAGGAGAGCCUGCGCCUC
rnacentral:antisense_RNA from 1 species